AGAAAGCUUGCAACAACUGAACGACUCCUCUGUCAUCAUCAGUGCCCUCAAGACCUACCUGGUGUCGGGGCAGCCCCUGGAAGAGAUCAUCACCUACUACCCAGCCAUGAAGGCUGUGAACGACCAGGGCAGGGAGGUGACCGAGUUCGGCAAUAAGUACUGGCUCAUGCUCAACGAGAAGGAGGCCCAGCAAGUGUAUGGCGGGAAGGAGGCCAGGACGGAGGAGAUGAAGUGGCGGCAGUGGGCGGACGACUGGCUGGUGCACCUGAUCUCCCCCAAUGUGUACCGCACGCCCACCGAGGCUCUGGCGUCCUUUGACUACAUUGUCCGCGAGGGCAAGUUCGGAGCCGUGGAGGGCGCCGUGGCCAAGUACAUGGGUGCAGCAGCCAUGUACCUCAUCAGCAAGCGACUCAAGAGCAGGCAAGUGUGUGUGCACAUCCAGGGCAUGCUGUCCCCGAGCCUCCAGUGCCACGAGCAGUGGUGAUCCCAUCACACCCCUCAGGAGACCAGCGGGAGGCUGAGGCCUAGGGCGGGUGGGAAACGCGUUAUGGAUUAUGGGUCCCUUGACCAAGACGGGACUUGGACGCAGAGCUCCUGCUCACCUCCCCCGCGGACAGCAGGGCUGGCCUUGAAGCUAGAAGCCUGGGCCCUGACUGGCACCUUCUCUGCGGUUUUCUCCCUGGCCUGGUCUCUUGCCCUUGCCACAGCCUCCCUGUCUGGGACAGAUGCUCCCUGAGGCGUCUGCAGAUGUGAUGCUCUCACCUGGGGUGCCGUCCUGGCUUCCACACCUCCCCGCUCUCCCCAGAGGAGACCCUCUUCCCUGCUGGGCUGGGAGUGGGGGCUCCCCUGAGGGGCUUUUCCCUUCCCCGCCCAGGCACCGCCUCCAGGACAAUGUGCGCGAGGACCUCUAUGAGGCUGCCGACAAGUGGGUGGCUGCUGUGGGCAAGGACCGGCCCUUCAUGGGGGGCCAGAAGCCGAAUCUCGCCGAUUUGGCGGUGUAUGGCGUGCUGCGUGUGAUGGAGGGGCUGGAUGCAUUCGAUGACCUGAUGCAGCACACGCACAUCCAGCCCUGGUACCUGCGGGUGGAGAGGGCCAUCACCGAGGCAUCCCUGGCGCACUGAAUGUCCCCGCGCAGAGCGGGGGGAAGGCAGCAGAAGACGCCAGCUGCCAGGGCCUGGGGCCACUGGGCCAGCGCCUGGCGAUACUGGUGGGGGGCAGGAUCAUUCUGCCCCUUGUCCACCCACUCCCCCAGCCCUCUUACUUCUAACACAGGGCACCUGCUGGGGCUCAGGGAUGUUAGGGACGAGUUCCAGCCCUGCCACUGCCCUGGGGCGACCCCUCCCUGUCCCUGCCUCCCUGCUCUGCCACCCCUCUCCCUGGACCCUCAGUGGCUGUCCCAUGGCUACAUCCUGUGGGUGGGGGGCCUCGACAGGACGGCAGGACGCUUCAUUUUCAGUGGAAUCCCAUCCCUGGGUUCCCCUGGUUCCCACUCUUCCCAAGCCUCCCGGGACUG
rnacentral:sRNA from 1 species